CGGACAACGGCUGGCGGCGUGCUUAACACAUGCAAGUCGAACGGUGACGAGGAGCUUGCUCCUCUGAUCAGUGGCGAACGGGUGAGUAACACGUGAGCAACCUGCCCCAGACUCUGGGAUAACAGUUGGAAACAGCUGCUAAUACCGGAUACGAGACGGAGAGGCAUCUCUACCGUCUGGAAAGUUUUUCGGUCUGGGAUGGACUCGCGGCCUAUCAGCUAGUUGGUGAGGUAAUGGCUCACCAAGGCGACGACGGGUAGCCGGCCUGAGAGGGCGACCGGCCACACUGGGACUGAGACACGGCCCAGACUCCUACGGGAGGCAGCAGUGGGGAAUAUUGCACAAUGGGCGAAAGCCUGAUGCAGCGACGCCGCGUGAGGGAUGACGGCCUUCGGGUUGUAAACCUCUUUCAGCAGGGAAGAAGCGAAAGUGACGGUACCUGCAGAAGAAGCACCGGCUAACUACGUG
rnacentral:rRNA from 1 species